AUGAGCACCAACCACAAGAAUAUUGUGAGAUUAUUGGGCUAUUCAUACGAAGAACAUGAAGAAUCACAUGUGCACUAUGGGACAUCCAUAUGUGGUGUAUACAUACACAGGUUAAUCGGCUUUGAGUAUGUGCCUGGUGGAAAUCUUUGCAAUUUUAUUUCAGAUCAACGUCUUGGAUGGAGUAUACGCUUCAAAAUAAUAAAGGGGAUCUGCGAGGGUUUACAAUACCUUCAUGAAGCUGACAUUGUGCACUCUAAUCUCAACCCAGGUAAUAUUUUGCUAGAUGGUGAGAAGAUACCAAAAAUCACAGAUUUCGGUUUAUCUCGGAUGUUCAAGCCAGUAAACGAGAGAGCCACAAUGAGUAAAGCUAUUUCUUAUGGAUGGCGACGUAUGAUACAUGAAGGAGUGGUGUCAAAAAGGUCUGACAUAUUUAGCUUGGGUGCUCUAAUUAAAGUUAUAUUGACUGGAAGUACGGAAGAAUCGGACAUUAAUUGCAUGGACGGUCCUGAAUGUGUUGAGCAUGUACACAAAUGCUGGAGGAAACGGCUACAAGAGAUAAGGAGAUAUCCCUCAUUUGAAGCAGAUUGCAAACAAGUGAGGGCUUGUAUCGAAAUCGCAGUAGACUGCAUGCACAAUGACCAACAACAAAGGCCUCUGAUUAACGAUAUCGUUCGUAAACUAUAUGAAGUAGAAGCUAAGGGAGAUUACCCACCAUCACAGAUGGGACAGGGCAUUCAUGAUUUUGAAGUAAGGAAAAUGUCAUUAAAAGAGUUGGAAAAGAUCACGAGUAAUUUCUCUGAAAAACUUGGUCAUGAUGACUUCGGUGCUGUUUAUAAGGAAGGAUUGGAGGUGGGGAAGUGA
rnacentral:rRNA from 1 species